UACGAAGGGGGCUAGCGUUGCUCGGAAUCACUGGGCGUAAAGGGUGCGUAGGCGGGUCUUUUAAGUCAGGGGGUGAAAUCCUGGAGCUCAACUCCAGAACUGCCUUUGAUACUGAAGAUCUUGAGUUCGGGAGAGGUGAGUGGGAACUGCGAGUGUAGAGGUGAAAAUUCGUAGAUAUUCGCAAGAACACCAGUGGCGAAGGCGGCUCACUGGCCCGAUACUGACGCUGAGGCACGAAAAGCGUGGGGGAGCAAACAGGG
rnacentral:rRNA from 1 species